GGCAGACAACACUCUUUGGCCAGCAGAUCACCCUUCUCAGUGAAAGCACGCUAGAGCAAGCUCCUGUGUUCCAGAUCCUCUGAUGGAACCUACUGUGUUCCCAGAGCCCUGAGGACUUGAGUUUGAAGUGCCACUGCCACCCCAACACAGAGCACCACUGCCACCUCUACAUCGGGCAACACUGUCACCUUUACAACAGGGUUUGUAUUAGGCUACUGCUGUUUUCCCCUAAAGAAAUAUUCUCACAAAGUAUUUUUGCUCUAAGUUCUCCAGGCAGCUGUGGACUUGAUGGUUGUGAAUUCACCUGUGGAUCAUCUCCUCCAUAAGCUCUCCUCGGGUCGGUUUGCAUUUUCAUAGCUAUGAGACUAAGAGAGUUACUUGUGAGUCUAAACAUGCAUCCGUACCCAGGAUUCAGAGGCGCUGAAGCUGGCUAAGAAAUGAGCAGUUGCAAGUCUCUGCACUCUCCAGCCUCCAUUGCUGAAAAGUUAGAUGUAAAGUCUAUGGGAGAAAUAUGGCAGUGAGUCUGGGUCCAGAGAAGCCUUGCUCUUUGAAGUUAAGGACUAUGAAGAUUCAUACUGCUAAGUGUUCAAAGUUUAUGAAUGAAGAGACUGUCAGGCUGAGUUCCAGAAAGGCCAAAUGUUCUGCUUGUAACACAGCUACACGGGGGACAGAACUACGUGACUCAUGGUCUCCAGCUUCCCAGGUCAGUUGCUGGCUUCUCUGCAGAGGACUGUGAAAAAUUCGA
rnacentral:lncRNA from 1 species